rnacentral:lncRNA from 1 species
GGUGCUGCUAUUGUGGUAAAAACAUACCAGAGCUGUAGUUAUUUUAGAGCACAAUUUUCAAGUUAUGUAGUAAUACUGAUGAUUGUUUUUAAAAAGUUUCUGUUUUUGACCUCUUUAGCUGGUUUCAGAAUUUUUGCUUGGGGCCCCAGCACACUCUAGAAUCACCUCUGUGAACUGUUUUCUUUCAGGGUUAUCCAAAAGUAAUGAAACUUGCCUGUCGAAUGAGCUCUGAUAUUGGAGGAACUCUGAGAUGACGUGUACAAAGGAGAGCUGCAAACUUUCUGAAUAUAAGAAAAUGAUGUAACCCUGUGCAUUUCAGUCGACGAGACACACCUAUGUGAUGCUAAAUUAAGUCUCACGUGGGUCAGAAGGCUCUCUCACUCAUGUAAUGUUUUGUCUUGUGGCUGAGGGUUAUUUUGAAUCAUGAAAAACCACAACAAGUACCUGCAGGAAAACCUUAAAUACAUGUUGAGAAAGAGCGAAAUCCUUACAAAGAGGUGCCUGGGAGUGACCCAGGAACCGUCUCCGUGUGAGGCAACAGCAUGAACCACGACCCCUACCUCAAAAAUGUGAAACUAUCCCUUUAAUGUAAAGUCGCCUGAACAUGAUAAUAAUGAUCUUUGCAGGUAGAACCUCUGAUUCAUAGAGAGAAGAGCUUUUGAGCAUCAUGAUCGGGAUAUAUUUUGGCAUUAAACCACAUCCACACCUAAAAAUAACAAAACUUUUGUGAAACUAAAACAAAAACUUUGUUCAUUCAUCUCUAAAUUUAACACCCUGACUUCGAGGAGGACAAGCAGUCAUAGCACGACAAAACCAAGCAUCUCUGUUGUUUACACGCUGUCAAAACAGACUCCGAGAGAUCGAGUGGAAAUGUCUGCUUUUACACCUUGCAGACGUGUGGAUCUGAAUCCAUCAUUACUCACAGACAAAACAGUCAACACCGAGGACAGACAAGAUCUGCAGAAGCACAAUACACUCCCUGUUUACACGAGGAAACCAAGAGAGCUGAAGAAUGAUAGAGUCUGAGAUAGAGGAAAAGUGCAAAAGCAGAUAGCGUGCAUAAUAUGUUUAAAAGAUUGGAAAAAGCACAGUAAAACAGGGUGGAGGUCGAAAAGCAGGGCGUUCUUGCAAACAGAGGGAUGAGGCAAUGUCACAUGAUCUUUUGAAGCUGUUCGGAUGGGGAGCUGUGAAAGCUCGGGGACAAUGGAGAGUAUGAGAGCAUGAAAUGGAGAAAACCCAGCAUUGUAAACUGUGACUCCACAGCCCGAAGGCUUCGCUCCUCAGGGGAAAUUCUGGCUGUGGUCCUGCCCUGAUGCUGCUGGCCCUCUGUCAGCGGCCGCCGCAGCAGAGUGAAAGUGUUGUGCAUGAAGAGACGAUAAGAUCCAGUUUUGAUAAGCGCCUCGUUCGACACAAGCACACAGGAUGUGAGGUUCGUUCGGGUGCCGUCGUUGGAAAGGAAAGCAGCAAAGUUGACAAAAUUUAAGCUCUGCUGGUUAAAGGACUGAUCGGAGGACAAACAGGACUUUUAGAGAUGCAGGAUGGAGACAAAACCAUAUUACAAAAACAGUUUGUAGUCUGACGGGACUGGUAAACUCUAAUCUCAGUGUGUAGCCAUGAUUCACAAGGUCUGGACAUUAAAAAAUAAGUGGUUUUCGAUAUUGUCUGUUUGGAUUCUGGGUUUGGUGCCACUGUUGAGAGAAGUCUGAGGACACAAUGUAAAAUAAUGUAAUUGUUUUAUGUCAUAAAAUGUAAAUUUGAUUCCUUCAACUGUGUUUUAAAGGGAUAUUCCGGCAUAAAUUUAUGUUAUGGUCAAACACACCGUAACACAGAGUUAGACACGCCCUCGAGAGAUGAAUGUUGCCGACCGCUUGCUUCUCUAGUUAUACCAACUUCAGUAACGACCGCAUGAUGGCAAUACACAGCGGUCUGAGGAGCCAUAAACAAACCUCAACCAAAACACCACUCUAUAGCCACAAAUAAUGCUCAGAACAGCACCUAACUUCAUCAACAGUACAUAUAGGGUCCUAGCCAUAGUACUAGCCACCAAUCAUCUUUUUAACUUUGACUAAUUUCUUUAGCAAAGAGACCAAACAUAACUCACCUACUCUCUUCCAGCAGCCACUUGUUUGUGGGGGAGCCCUGACGAGUCGAUCACCAAGUGCAGAGGAGUUUCACAGCUCAAGGAAGAACAUUUAUGAUCAUUACUUUAUGGAAAGAAAUGAUUGAGAUGCUAAGGCAGAAGAACUACUCUGGUGAUUAGUUCUUCAUGGAAAUGAUCCGCUGCACUCUGUGAUCGACUCGUCAGGGCUCCCCGACAAACAAGUGGCUGCUGGAGGAGAGUGGGUGAGUUGUUUUUAGUCUCUUUGCUAAAGAAAUCAGGGGAAGUUAAAAAGAUGUUUGGUGGCUAGUACUAUGACUGGGACCCUAUAUGUACUGUUGAUGAAGUUAGGUGCUGUUCUGAGCAUUAUUUGUGGCUAUAGAGUGGCGUUUUGGUUGAGGUUUGCGCAUGGAGAUGUAGACCGCUGUGUAUUGCUCAUGUGUGGUUGCUACCUAAGUUAGUAUAAUUAGAGAAGCAAGCGGUCAGCAACACUUAUCUCUCAAGGGGGUGUCUAACUCGGUGUUACUAUGUGUUUGACCCUAAAUUAAUUUUACGCCGGAAUAUCCCUUUAACUACCGGAUCAUGAGAGGCUGACAAACGCUCCUCAAACUUCACCCGCCUCUGAGGAUGUCUGCGUAAAUGUGUGAAUCCAUCUGUUGUUUCUAGAGUUUAUGUUGAGAGGGAGAAGGUGUGAGGCCCACACAGACCUUCAUACACUCUAUUAACACCCUGUUUGCUGCUGAAUGCUCCACCUGUUACAAGUGUGAUUUCUCUCUUUACCCCCAGAAAGAAAGAGAGACAAAAGAGUGUGAAUGCCCCACAGAGGAAUUAGCACUGACACGUGCAUGUUUCCUCAUGAGGCUUUAAAUACACCACACGCUAACACUGACAUGGUUUUGAUUUGGCAAGAAAACAUCCUCUCAUUCAGGAAGCAUUGUCUUCGCUUCAGACUGGUUAUCUUCACUCUCAGUUUGACGUGCUGACAGAGGAGAAAACAGCUCCAAAUGACCUCCUGAAGGGAAACUGUUAACCAAAUCCCCAAACCAGACUUUUAUGAAGCCGUAAAUCUGUGGGUCAGUCAGCGCCGAGAGGUGUUUGUUAUCUGUCAGCCAGCUUCUGCUUCAGAGGAGGAGAGGAGACACUGAGGGCGGCUCUGAGUAAACACAUACCAAACUGACUUUGUUGUUAAAGACACCCUCCAGAGGUCCACAUGGGACUUCAAGGGACCAGGAACAGGAUACAGAGAGCCACGACAGGCUUGUAAACCAAAACCCACAACACUCACGCAUACCUGUACAAACUGCAGGGACAGGAAAGAGUAGGGAAAUCUCACAGUGACAAACUGUUUAGUGUUUUUUAAAUUGGAAAUGUAAUGUCAUCAUAAUUCUUGUUUUAGUUAUGAUUUUAACAUCUUGUAUAAUUCUCCUGUUUGGACUUUUAUCAUUUUAAUGUAUAUGAAUGUUGAAUGUUUUCUUGUGGACCCUAGGAAGAGGAGCUAAUGGGGAUCCAAAUAAAUAAACAAACAAAUAAACUAUAAUAUCUGCCCUCAGGUAAACUCAUAUUUACCCCCUUUUAGAUUAUUUUUGGACUUUUUAAUGUUAAAAACUGACAAAUAGUUGUCCUAGUUCAUCUUCAAAGAGGAUAAAAAUAGUCUUUUUAAAUCUGACCAGAAUUCAACACCUUACUGAGUUUAAAAGUCAUUAUAGAAACAAGAGUUCUGACCAUAAAACAUUGAACAGGCCCGCUAAAAACGAGACAGAGAUUAACUCCUGACAAAAACAACCAAUCAAUGUGAGGAUUAGAGAGGAGUUUUGAGAUGAUCCUGGGUUAGGAGGGUUAAAAACAAGACCAGAAUCCACACAGUCUUGCAUCCUUGUCAGAAAAACAUGUGAGAAAUAUGAACCCGGUGUGGUGAGAAGAAGAAGCCCACACACUGAUCUUCUCCCACCUUCGACUUUCCUUCAGUUUCUUUCAUCUCAGUGAGUGUGGAGCUGAUGUCAUCCGAAGUGACUCAUCCGGUCACACAGAGGAAGAAAAAGAUGGAUGUGCAGGUGAAGAACGAAGAAAGAAAUAAAGGCAAGUGGGAGGAAAGGUAGGAAGGGGAGAUGGAUGCAUGAGGAGGAGGAGAGGAGAGGAGAGGGAGCAGGAAGAGAGGAAAAACAGGGGGUGGAGGAGGUUUGAGGGGGGCAGAUGGAGUGAUGGGUUUUGCAGACUCAGUAUGGAGAGAAGAGGGAAAACAGCUACACAACUCAAGAGGCAAACCAUAUGUUGAGCGUUUCUGCCUGUGUGUGUGAAACUCCACUAAACUGGCAGUGGAAAAAAGAGAGAAAACAAACGUCUGAAAAAGAGAAGAUAGAAAAUAAGAGUAAAAAGACAGAGUGAGGGAAAAGUAAAAAUAAAAGGCAAAGUAUGACAUGAAGAAACUGCACAGAGGGGCAGAAAAAGCCCACAGUUGGCUGCUACCUUUGAGUUAAUAUGUAAUUUCAGAGACAUGCUGCCCUCUGCUGGACAACAAAGAUAUUAUAAACAUAUAUAAAUAUCUAUUUAUUUUCUAUUUUUCAUCCACUAGAGGCCGCCAGAGCAGCAGCUUCUCACUUUUACUCGUUUUCUUUGAUAAAUUCAAGAUACAGCUGAUCAACUUGUUCAUUUUCCAAUUCACAGGGUCACUUUAUGACAAAUUUUGGUGAUCGACUGAAAGCAUUAUUCCACAUUCAAGUACAGAAAGAGGGUCAAAUAAUUAAACUUGUUUAUUAAAACUUAAUUCAAAGAGUUGAGAUGCUAUAAGAAAGGCUGAUGCAAGCAGAGUCUGAUGAUUUGCAUCAUUUCAGUUCCUAUUUCAUUGAAAAUAGUGCAAAGACAAUUAAUUUGACAUUCAUUUGCACGUUUAUUUGAUUAACUUGCAUUUGUUGAUGUUGCAGCAACAGACUCUGUUCACAGACUGGAGGUUUUGGGAUGUGACUUUGAGUCCGUGCUGUGAUUUCCACUGCAGAGUCAUGUCUGUUAUGACUCUGUGCCAGCUGAGGGUUUAAAGAUCACAGCCACCCAGAAUCAAUUAUCAGAUUUGCCUUUUUUUUCGACAGAGAUUUCUGCAGGAUCUUUUAAUUUGGGUAAACAGAUGAUAAAAUCCUCAAAGUCGUUGCAAAUUACCAAUAAUAAACAUCGUCCCUGAACUAUUUCUCACUCAGACACAUUGGAUGGUGAACCUCUACAUUACAUCCACACUGCUACAUCCACCUCUCACUGUCUUGACCGACACCACAGUAGUUUGCUAAAUAUAAUAUUUUGCUCAUAAAUUCGUGGCUGUUUUCCCUGUUUAUGACAGAUUUGGUCUGUUUUGCUUUUGUAGGUCAUAAAGUUAAAUCAGUGAUGAUUUCAGUCUGUUUCAUAACCAGUUAAAAACAUGAGAUAAUCAGAUUACUUUGCAAAGGUUAUCAAAUUAUUUUAAUCAGAUUAAACAUGAAGCAAAAUUAAAUUAGCUUUAAAUAAAAUCAUCUUGAGUAAAAAACCCCACUCAUCUAUCAAACCUCUUAAAAUCACUGUGUAUACAUAGAACACUAUAAUUAUCAGUCUGGGUUGAAGCCAAAGGAUUUAGAGCUCCCCUGGUGGCCACCUACAGUAUAGGUCAUAAGCUCUGUCUCUGUAAUGUUAAUAGAUCACAGAUCGGCUUCUCUAUAAAACUAAAAUACACUUAAAAACUUUUUUUUUGACACAUGGUUUCUGAUAUAAAAGUUUUUGUGUCCUUGAUUUUCAAAAGAGCGGGUUCAACACCAUGAUGAUGAACAGUUUCUGCAGAUUCUCCAGAUUAACACAGUCGAGGACAAACAGGGAGAAAAUAUAUAAAACACCAGCACAAGAGUUUGUCUCUGCCUCAAAUCAACACAAGAUUAAGUUCUGCUGUGGAUUUUCUAGACCUGAGGAGAGGGAUCUUUGACAUUUUAUGGGUAUGUUUUUACUGUGGAGUUUGGUUAUAGCAGAGCCGGCCCAAGGCAUAAGAGAACUACUCGCCUGCUAAGGGUCCCGCAGCCAGUAGGGGGCCCCCAAGAGCAAUAAAAAAAAAAAAUAAUAAUUAAUAUUUUUUAUAUUUUGCAUGUAUGAGUGAUGCUUUCUGUAUGAUCAAAUAUAUAUUAUUGUAAAAAGGAAAUAAAAUAAAAUAAAAAUUUUUUAGUGCUGCUGCUGAUGUCGGCCUAUGAUUAUUACUGCCGAUAUGUUAAAGCUCUGCUACCGUUAUGUGCCUCCUGCUGUGUAAUGUGCACUGAUCAUCCAAAGAGCAGGUAGUUUUGGGGCGAAACAAUGUCGCAAAAAAGGACGUAUCCUUCAGGAACAGAGAAAAGAAAGAGGAAGAAAGAGGAAGAAGAGAAAACAUGCCAAGAUAAAGGUACAUUUGCAUGUCAUGGAAUGUUAAAGAGAUUUGUGAAGGUGAAGGUGAUCAACGAUCAAUAUUACUGGCAGAAAUAGAGGGCCCCAUAAUCAAAUGUUGCUUAGGGCCCUGUUGAGGCUUGUGCCGGCUCUGGGUUAUAGUCAGGGAUAUCAAGUCUGUCCGGCCACACGACCAGCCAAGUCACAGUCACACAGGUCUUUGUUUGUCAACACCAGCAGGGACGACGUUUUGGCUUCAAAGAUGAGAAUGAAUGACGGCGUUCAUUUAGCGAACAUCAACCACAGAGACGAGACGAGCUGAAGUGUUUGAAGUAGAUGUUGGACAUAGACGGGAAACACUUUGACUAAAAGUAAUGACGAAUAUGCGACCGACUUUUACUUAAACAAGACUAACUUGUUUUGACCCAGAAGUGUCAGAUUUGUUUGGCUCUCUUUUGAUGCGUCCUGGAUUUAUUAGAUUAUAUUAAUCUAAUAUGGAUCGUCAGUAUCACAGCUGCACACGGGCAGAGCGUUUAAUUUGUUUAUUGAGAGAUUUCAUUAGAUAAAUCUUUUCAGAUGUUGAACAUCUGUGUUCCCACCACAUCCAUGUCAAACUAUCUAUUAAUCUAAAUGUGUCACUGCUUCAAACACAGACUCUAAAACUUCAGUCUUACUCUUCUGCGCUGCACACCGACCACUUUAAUCUGCCUGAACAAUCAAUGUUACUAUUGUUAGCUCUUGAAAAAAGCAGAAUAAUCCAAUCAUCUGUCCUUUCUUCUUUCAGUUGUGGAUUGGUGACACUCUGCUUCUUGUUUUCCACAUGCUGGACACGAACAGGUUUUGAGUUUAUGCCAGAAAACGGGAAUAAUAAAAGCUAAAGGCCCUGUAAAGGCUUCUUCUCAACGCUGCAGAUGCUUUGGGUGCAGACUUGUUGUUCCAUAAAGCAUUUCCAAGAAAGAGAAUAUGUUAUACAUCUGUCAAACACUACAGUUCUGUUAACGACCAAAUGUUCUGUUCUUUGAUGGCUUGGCUGCACACUCGCCCGCUCACGUAACAAUGGAGUAAAUAACAACAGACUCUUGAAACAAACAGCAGCCUCCUUCUGCUUCUUAGAAAUGCUUUUUAUAAAACUACCAGAUGCUUCCAGAACUAAAACACACUCGCAGUCAAUUUGUCUUUGUCCAGAUUUUGUCAGUUUUUGUCUCUUUUAUGUAAAAAAAAAAAAAAGUUUCCAGACCAACUCGUCCCCACCCCCAAGCCAACGCCUCGA